CUGCCAGAAAAUCUGCAGCAGGACUGCAGUGUAAUUUCAGAUUUUGGUGGGUUAAGUUGCAAAAUUGCCAUCCUUAUCUUAACCCCAGCCACCUGACACUUAUCUUUGUACAGAACUUCUUCCCUCUCCUUCGUUCUUAUCCCUAUUUCCCUCUUUAUCUCUCUUGAGCCUAAUUAAAGCGUUGUGAAAGAAGAAUUGGUGGAGUGGAACCUUUCCUGCGUUGGAGCUGAAAGGAGUAGCCGAGCUUCAGCUCUCUAGUAUUGCUGCGUUGAGGUUGCAGCAGAAGAAGAAGAAGAAGAAGAAGAAGAAGUGAGCUGAGAACAACCUGGGUUCAUAUCAAGAUAAGGAUGUGUAGUUAAGAGAAUUGAUGGCAGUCUUGAUGUUUUGAGUUGCCGAGUUGAUAUCUCGGGUGUGUGGACUAGAGUACUAGCUGGAGAACAUCCCAAGUAAGUGGAAUGGGCAAAAUUGGGGGUAGUAAGCUGAGUGAAGUUGUCAAGUGAAGUUCCUGCCUGGGUGCUGUCAGAACUGAGAACAAAUUGGUAUCCUACUAAAUUAAGGGGAUUCAAUCCAGUAAAUUGGUGAAGCUGAGUUGAAGGAAUUCCUACUGUGGUAUUGCUGAAGUAGAGAAUUGGGUCACUUGCAGCAGUGAACAGCUUGAUAGAACCUUAAAUUAAGGAAUUUCAGUAGAGACCGAAUUAAUAGAAGGAAGUGAGGAAUGAUUGUUUGUUGCUGAAAAUUCAGAUUUAAAAUUGGAUUUGUGGGCUGCAGAAGUAAGGUUGCAGCUGAGGAAGGCCUUAAUGCAGAAUUUUAAUGCCUAAAGCUGAAAACAACUUGGAAGGAUUCCUACAUUGGAGUGGCAUAUAAGGGAAUUCCUGGGUGAACCGAAUUGGAGUAGGGACUUGAAGAGCUGCUGCCAGGACUGAGCAUUAGUUGAUUAGUGAUGACAGCUUGAUGAUCCAACUUGUCAAAGCUUUGGAAUGAAUUAUUCUUAGCUGUUGAAUCUAGGAAUAAAAAGGGGCAGCAAAUAAGGUGAGCUAAGUUAAUAACUUAUUAGGGCUAAUUUAGUUGUUCAGAAUUGAUUGAGAAAAGGAUUCG